rnacentral:rRNA from 1 species
GUGAGUAACACGUGGGUGAUCUGCCUUGCACUUCGGGAUAAGCCUGGGAAACUGGGUCUAAUACCGGAUAGGACCAUGCUUUAGUGUGUGUGGUGGAAAGUUUUUCGGUGCAAGAUGAGCCCGCGGCCUAUCAGCUUGUUGGUGAGGUAAUGGCCUACCAAGGCGACGACGGGUAGCCGGCCUGAGAGGGUGUACGGCCACAUUGGGACUGAGACACGGCCCAG